rnacentral:rRNA from 1 species
UACGGGAGGCAGCAGUGGGGAAUCUUGCACAAUGGGGUCACCCCUGAUGCAGCCAUGCCGCGUGGAGGAAGACACCCCUAUGGGGCGUAAACUCCUUUUCUGAACGAAGAAAACUCUGUAGGUUCAGAGCGAGACGGUAGUUCAGGAAUAAGCACCGGCUAACUCCGUGCCAGCAGCCGCGGUAAUACGGAGGGUGCAAGCGUUGUCCGGAAUCACUGGGUGUAAAGGGUGUGCAGGCGGGGCAGCAAGUCGGAUGUGAAAGCCCGUGGCUCAACCACGGAAGCGCCUUCGAAACUGUUGCUCUUGAGUCCCGGAGAGGCUGUCGGAAUUCGUGGUGUAGCGGUGAAAUGCGUAGAUAUCACGAGGAACACCAGAGGCGAAAGCGGACAGCUGGACGGGUACUGACGCUCAGGCACGAAAGCGUGGGGAGCAAACAGGAUUAGAUACCCUGGUAGUCCACGCCGUAAACGAUGAACGCUCGCCGUUGCCCCGCUCAAGGGGCAGUGGCUAAGCUAACGCGUAAGC